rnacentral:rRNA from 1 species
ACAGUGGACGCGAGCAUCUGUGGCCAAGUUUUUAAGGGCGCACGGUGGAUGCCUUGGCACCAGGAACCGAUGAAGGACGUGGGAGGCCACGAUAGGCCCCGGGGAGUCGUCAACCAGGCUUUGAUCCGGGGGUGUCCGAAUGGGGAAACCCGGCAGUCGUCAUGGGCUGUCACCCGCUGCUGAACACAUAGGCAGUGUGGAGGGAACGCGGGGAAGUGAAACAUCUCAGUACCCGCAGGAAGAGAAAACAACCGUGAUUCCGGGAGUAGUGGCGAGCGAAACYGGAUGAGGCCAAACCGUAUACGUGUGAGACCCGGCAGGGGUUGCGUGUGCGGGGUUGUGGGAUCUCUCUUUCACAGUCUGCCGGCUGUGAGACGAGUCAGAAACCGUUGAUGUAGGCGAAGGACAUGCGAAAGGUCCGGCGUAGAGGGUAAGACCCCCGUAGUCGAAACAUCAGCGGCUCGUUUGAGAGACACCCAAGUAGCACGGGGCCCGAGAAAUCCCGUGUGAAUCUGGCGGGACCACCCGCUAAGCCUAAAUAUUCCCUGGUGACCGAUAGCGGAUAGUACCGUGAGGGAAUGGUGAAAAGUACCGCGGGAGCGGAGUGAAAUAGUACCUGAAACCGUGUGCCUACAAGCCGUGGGAGCGUCGGACAUCAAGUUUACUUGSUGUCUCGUGACUGCGUGCCUUUUGAAGAAUGAGCCUGCGAGUUUGCGGUGUGUUGCGAGGUUAACCCGUGUGGGGAAGCCGUAGCGAAAGCGAGUCCGAAUAGGGCGAUAUAGUAGCGCGCUCAAGACCCGAAGCGGAGUGAUCUAGCCAUGGGCAGGUUGAAGCGGAGGUAAGACUUCGUGGAGGACCGAACCCACCAGGGUUGAAAACCUGGGGGAUGACCUGUGGUUAGGGGUGAAAGGCCAAUCAAACUCCGUGAUAGCUGGUUCUCCCCGAAAUGCAUUUAGGUGCAGCGUCGUGUGUUUCUUGCCGGAGGUAGAGCACUGGAUAGGCGAUGGGCCCUACCGGGUUACUGACCUUAGCCAAACUCCGAAUGCCGGUAAGUGAGAGCGCGGCAGUGAGACUGUGGGGGAUAAGCUCCAUGGUCGAGAGGGAAACAGCCCAGAGCAUCGACUAAGGCCCCUAAGCGUACGCUAAGUGGGAAAGGAUGUGGAGUCGCACAGACAACCAGGAGGUUGGCUUAGAAGCAGCCACCCUUGAAAGAGUGCGUAAUAGCUCACUGGUCUAGUGAUUCCGCGCCGACAAUGUAGCGGGGCUCAAGCGUACCGCCGAAGUCGUGUCAUUCAUACAAUAGGGCCAACGCCCGUGUGGAUGGGUAGGGGAGCGUCGUGUGCCGGGUGAAGCAGCCGCGGAAGCGAGUUGUGGACGGUUCACGAGUGAGAAUGCAGGCAUGAGUAGCGAUACACACGUGAGAAACGUGUGCGCCGAUUGACUAAGGGUUCCUGGGUCAAGCUGAUCUGCCCAGGGUAAGUCGGGACCUAAGGCGAGGCCGACAGGCGUAGUCGAUGGAUAACCGGUUGAUAUUCCGGUACCCGCUGUGAAGCGUCAAACAUUGAACCAGGCGAUGCUAAGUCCGUGAAGCCGCCCUGGAGCCUUCGGGCAAAGGGGAUGUUUACUAAAAACACAGGUCCGUGCGAAGCCGUAAGGCGAUGUAUACGGACUGACGCCUGCCCGGUGCUGGAACGUUAAGGGGACCGGUUAGUCAUGAUUCGUCAUGGCGAAGCUGAGAACUUAAGCGCCAGUAAACGGCGGUGGUAACUAUAACCAUCCUAAGGUAGCGAAAUUCCUUGUCGGGUAAGUUCCGACCUGCACGAAUGGCGUAACGACUUCUCGACUGUCUCAACCAUAGGCCCGGUGAAAUUGCACUACGAGUAAAGAUGCUCGUUUCGCGCAGCAGGACGGAAAGACCCCGGGACCUUUACUACAGUUUGAUAUUGGUGUUCGGUUCGGCUUGUGUAGGAUAGCUGGGAGACUGUGAACUCUGGACGCCAGUUCAGGGGGAGUCGUCGUUGAAAUACCAGUCUGGUCGUGCUGGAUGUCUAACCUGGGUCCGUGAUCCGGAUCAGGGACAGUGUCUGAUGGGUAGUUUAACUGGGGCGGUUGCCUCCUAAAGAGUAACGGAGGCGCCCAAAGGUUCCCUCAGCCUGGUUGGCAAUCAGGUGUUGAGUGUAAGUGCACAAGGGAGCUUGACUGUGAGACCGACGGGUCGAGCAGGGACGAAAGUCGGGACUAGUGAUCCGGCGGUGGCUUGUGGAAGCGCCGUCGCUCAACGGAUAAAAGGUACCCCGGGGAUAACAGGCUGAUCUUCCCCAAGAGUCCAUAUCGACGGGAUGGUUUGGCACCUCGAUGUCGGCUCGUCGCAUCCUGGGGCUGGAGUCGGUCCCAAGGGUUGGGCUGUUCGCCCAUUAAAGCGGUACGCGAGCUGGGUUUAGAACGUCGUGAGACAGUUCGGUCCCUAUCCGCUGCGCGCGUAGGAAUAUUGAGAAGGGCUGUCCCUAGUACGAGAGGACCGGGACGGACGAACCUCUGGUGUGCCAGUUGUUCUGCCAAGGGCAUGGCUGGUUGGCUACGUUCGGGAGGGAUAACCGCUGAAAGCAUCUAAGCGGGAAGCCUGCUUCGAGAUGAGUAUUCCCACCCACUUGAUGGGGUAAGGCUCCCAGUAGACGACUGGGUUGAUAGGCCGGAUCUGGAAGCACGGUAACGUGUGGAGGUGACCGGUACUAAUAGGCCGAGGGCUUGUCCAUA